rnacentral:misc_RNA from 1 species
AGUUUUUCAGGCUCGUGCUCGCGCAUCGAACUGUCGAGCCGCACUCCUCUUCACAUCCUCCCCUUGUAGCCGUCGUGCACAGGGGGUGUUCGAGGGAUCCUGUGUUGCCUACCGAAAUCGAUGGAAUUUAUGAUGUGCUAUCGUCCCUUGUCCGUCGAGUGGCCUUGUUGCCUGCUCGGUGGACCUCAGUCGUGCCCGGUUUCCCGACCGUGUCGAUCAUGAUGAUUCGACCGUGUCGGUGUAUCGGUGCUCGAUCGUGCUUUUGGAUGCGGAAGAUCAUGUGAGCGUAGGGUCAAGGCCCCGGUCGCUCGGCCCCUUUGCAUUUUUUGUCCCUCGACACGAUCGAUGCUCCAGCCUUGUUACGGCCUCUCGCCUACCAACGUAGCGCGAUGCGGACCGUGCAGGGCGGACGUCGCCAAGGAAUGCUACCUGGUUGAUCCUGCCAGUAGUCAUAUGCUUGUCUCAAAGAUUAAGCCAUGCAUGUGA